rnacentral:lncRNA from 1 species
CUAAUUCGCCGAUGUGUAACAAACCUUAAGACCUUUCAUACUUUCAGCAAGGCAAUAUCAAACUACAGUCUGCUCAUACUACAACAGCAUGGCUCAGAAGUGUGAUAGUCCAGGUGCUGAACUGGCCUGCUUAUAUCCUAUAUCCUAAAUCCUAUAUCAGGAAAAAGGACAAAAUUUCGCUCUACAAAGAAAUCAGAAACGGGUGUCUUGAGUUGCCUAAAGUUUAUAAAGUACUGUCAAAAGUAGAGGUAAAGUAACACAAUGGUAACCAUGCCCCUAUCUCAACAGAGUGAGCACACGAAAGAGACAAGACCAGUUUUCAGUUUUGGCAUCAGAUAAAUCUUUAAAGUCCCUUUUAAGAGUUUUUGUUCCUUUUCCUGUUAAAACACGCUUUGAUGAAUACUAAGUUACUUAAUAAAAAGUUCUGACAUUAACAUCUGCCCGCUCACAGCUGUAACUUUAUGUCCACCUGUUGAGGAAUCACUGAGUUUACUGGGUAUUUCAAAGACUGGAAAAAAACUUUUUGCUGCCUGUUACUUUAACAGAUUACAGAGUGUGAAAAUCCUGUUAUUUUGUUAGGAGUGAAAUUUAUACAACUAGCAUUGCCUCUGCACUUUCUCUCAGCCAAUCUAAGCAAACACUGUCCACUAUGAGGAACAACCCAAACACAGCCCUUCUGUUGUUGAUGUGGCUUUUUGAAUUCAACAUGGAGAGUGAGAAUAGGGGUCAUUUUGUGGCUGGUACAAAAAGCAUCAGGGUAGAGUCUCUGUAUGAGAAACUGAAUUUGCUCUCGUCUGAGCCACACAGCUCAAGUCUCUGAAUACAAAUGGAGAGGGAGGGCUGCAGAGAAUACAGCGCCGGCACUCCUGAUUCCUCCAGGAUUGGAUGUGCCUUAUUUCCAAGUGAAGUGCUCGCUGCUACAAUUCUCUGCCCUUUGGUCCUGCCCUGCUAUCUCACUUUCAAUUAUUAGUUUUCUUCUUGUGUUUUUUUUUUUUUUUUUUUUUUUCUCUUUGCAGGGAAGGUGGAGGGGCUGUUAAGAAAGGGGAGGUGAGGUGACCUGAUAUGUAUCAAAUCAGCCCCAACAGAGGACAACUCAUCAUCAGAUUCACUUUUGAUUAGACUCAGGCAUCAGAGGGCCACGGGAGCGCACAGGACUGGUAACAGGCAAUCAGCGAGGGCCACAGGUCAGCGUGUCCACACCUUUGUUUGGGUAACCGUGUCGAGGAUGUGCCUUGCUUCCACAUGAGCUGUUGUGUUGUUAAUGAGGCUGCGAAUACACGCAGAACAAAGACCCCAACAUAGAGCGGCGUGUUCUGUAUGUGCGCUCACACACAGCGAUUUCUGCAGCUUUCCCCUGCGAGCUGGCCGCUUCAGAGGCCGUGUUCAGCUUGUCUUACACUCUUUUAUUGGCAUUGCUUUCUGUAGUUGUUCUGUGCUUGGACUGCAGUAUCCCCAUUCAGGCUUCCAGCCCCUUCAGGGCAUUACUGCAUCACUGUUGAGCCCAGACUGGAUCACAGAUAAGUAGCCAGCUUGUGGACUUAGAAAAUAUUGCUGCUCUUUUCUCGCUUUCCAAUUAGGAGCUACCAGCUACCAAAUAAGAUCAGAGGAUAAAACGGUACAGGUUUCAUAGAGUUUUGAAUAUUUAGUAUGAAAUAUGGAGAUCCUCAGGAAUUAGUGAUUCUUUCCUGGGGGGAGCUUGAUAUUCAAAAAACUUCAUCUUUUACCUCUGCUUUCCUCCCACUGUGGGGAUAAAAGAGCUUACCUGCCAGAAGCGUCCUGUCACAUGGACUAAUUCUGGUGAUUAUGAAGAUGUUUUUGUCACUUAGUCAUGUAUUCACACUCUCCUGUGUAUGUUUUUGGCUCAUCUUAAUUCAGGGCCUCAGCAGAAUUCAAAAUAGAUGACGGUAAUGCUGAGUUUGAUUCACAAAUGCAACAAAGUACAUCUGUUUAUUCCAAGAUGCUUUAGGAUAUCAAGUAUUCUCUUUCAGCUUUCUUGUUUGAGCAUUUAUAAUUAAAGGCAUGGUUGACAAUUGGAGAGAUUGGUAAUUAUUACGAACCCCGUUGAUAUGGCUAUCAUGGUCCUAUAGUGCGAUCUCUACAAAGUGAAGAGAAAAAAGAGUGGAAAAAACCUGUUCACCCUAACAGGUGCAGGGCUGCAAAAACUCAUAUUGGUCAAUCUUCUGCUCCGCCUCUCCAUCCAAUAACCUCGCUGUAUACGACACACCCCUCUCCCGUAGUUCUGACUCGUCCCCUCCCACUUUCCCGGCCCUCCUCGGAGCGCUGAGCGGCUAAAAGAAGCGUAGUAGCUUAGAUACUGGAGCUGUGAUGAAGAGGGACGCAAAAAAAAAAGGAAAGAAAAACAUCUCUGCACCGCCAAAAGUGGGAAGAAAACACAAGCCGACAGAAGAAAGGGCAAAGUCGAAGAGGAAAUGCUACCAAGCGAGGAAUCUAACUUGGAUUAACAUCGGGUCAUCCUUCGAGCGGUGGAGAAAACAGAAGCCGAGACAGCAGAGUUUUUUGUUUAACAGGUAAUUUUGCCUUUUAUUGUGGCACAUGUAAUAUAAAUAACUCUUAUUAGUCUCUGCAAUGUCAAUACGGUAGCUGUCCAGGCAGCUGCAGAUGAUGCUCGCUAGCAGAGCUGGCAUUUACUGCCGCUAGUCACUAGCAAUCCAACAUGGUGUAUCCUAUUUGAAGCUAGUGUAGGAUCUUCUGCCGGCCGGCUUCUUCUUUUGAGCAUUUAUAAUUAAAGGCAUGGUUGACGAUUGGAGAGAUUGGUGCUUUUUUCAAAUCUGCCUCAACGGCCCAGUUUUUUUCAACUGCUUCUCAGAUCGUCAACCAUACCUUUAAGCUAUAGACAGAAAUGAAAGACAGUGUAAUGUUUAAAAUGUGUUAUUCAACCUGUUUCAUGAUGCUGUUGGACUUUGAGCUCAGACUUGAUUUCUUGCCUGUAUCCUUAUUUAGGUAUUUGUAUUUUAAGCCACAACUUCCAAUGCCAAAAAAUAGGGAAAAAUGCUUUUUUUUUUUUUUUGUUAAGCUUGAUCCAGGCUGGUGAUAUUUAUGAUCGUAUUAUUAACUAUCUUUAAAAUAUUAGAAAUAAACUUCCAUCUGUUUUUGAAACAUUAUCAGUCAACAUUUUAGGUAUUUAUAUCUAUUUAGCAAGGUCUCAGCUCUUUGUGCCUCUGGGCUCAUGGACAUCCCCAGCCUAUCAUUCAAAGAUGAAGGCCACUCUCCAAUUGCGGUUGGAGAAACAGUGCGCUGUGGUAUUUGGUGAGUUGUGCCAAAGCAGUCCCAAAAAUACUCCACUCAUUUCCCCAAGACUAGUUCCCCUGCUUUGCCCAGAAAGCUCAGGACUUUGGAAGCCAAAUGUCGUCUUCUGGCACUGGGAGCCAUGCCUUGCCUUCCUGCACUUCAGCCUCCAACUUUCUAGGCAGCUAAUUUCCAGAAGCCCAAUUUCUAAACAUGGAGAAAAUAACAUCGUAUCGUAUUGACUGGGACAUAAAAAGAUAACUUCUGAUAUAGUUCAUGAUGCUUGCCAUCCUCAGACAUUGUGCUCUGCAAUGCCGCACUUACUUCUUGGUAAAUUGACAAUUGUUCAUUGACUCUGUUGUGUUGAUAACCAUUAUCUUAAAAUUGGUAUCCUCACUCCGACUUGGAGCCACUUUGUUCAGGACAAUCACCUUGUCUCUCCAUCUUUGAAUCUUCUCUCACUGCUGUUGCUAAACAGCUGGAGUGAAACCAUCUAUAGGCAAAGAUAUAUGUUAACAUUUGAGUAUAAAUCCUUGUCUUAUAUUCAGGUCUGCGUGGUACGUGAUAUAGUGUUUCUUGAUUCACCACUUAGAGGACAAUUGAAAUGACCUUUAAGCAGUGAAAGGAUUGUCGUCUGGUUCAGGGUCAAACCACUUAAGCAUGUAGGGUUGGAUCAUACCCGUUUUGUGCUGUGCUAUAUUAAGUUGAGCAACCUAAAGCUGGAAAACAAGCUGUUUUUGAUCAAGGUUUUCUGAUAGUUACAGAUGUAUUUUUUACUCAGAUUUUAAUUGGUGCACAAUGAAACACUUAAUCUUGAUAUUCUGAUUUUAAUUUUCUUGACAAUGUUUUAUCUUGACUUUGAAUGGCCAGGGACAUAGCCAGGGUUGCCACGGGUGCACAGCUGUUUGCUAUGUCAGAGACAGUACUUGGAUUAUAAACCACGAUUGAGGUUGUAAUAGGCUGCUCAUCUUACAGCUUUCUUUUUUUUUCUUUUGGACUCGACUGUGGACAAAUGUCUUCUUUUCAAGUUACUAUGGAAUUUAGUUCAUCAGAUGUCAUUUUUGACACACAGUUACCUUUCAAAGUAAUAUUAUAUACAAGGAUAUAUGUCUGGAUGAUUCUUUUAUAGUAUUGCUGUGGAGGAGUCACCUGCAAAAGAGAGGAAAGGAGCUCAAUCUGGAUGCAACCAGCUUUGCUUACUCCCUCCCCUGGUUUCCAUGGAAACAAACCCAUUAGCACUGAUUAUGCCGACCCUUACGCUUAAGGCAAAGGAGUUAAAAAUAAGAAACAUAUGUUCUGAGAUUGACAUUACACAGAUUUAAUAGAAUGUAGAACUAAUGAUGUUUGUACUGAGUGCUCACCUGUGUGUGUAUGAGUGUGCGUGAGUGUACGUGAGAGUGCGUGAGCCAGUAUGUGUGAUUUAGCACUCAGACAAGUUAAGCUGAUCAGCUGGCUGAUGUGAUUGAGCAGGAUAAUUGCUCUGCCGAUGUGAUUGAUUUGGAACCAGUCCAGGGGGAAUUCAAGUAUUGAAUGGUGUGCAGCAGAGGGAUGUGGGUGAUAAAGGAGUGGCAUGAGGGAAUCUAUGUGCAUUGUGCUGUGCUCAUUUAUUAUGGAAUAACUUUAUAUGUGGCUGCAGAAUUGUUUUGUUAUGUAAAAUCUUGAUUAAUCCCCUUUUACAGAUCCUCAUUAACAAUGUAGAAUCUGUGCUGAUGGGACUCCCCAGGGAUUUUAGUCUGGGGGAAUGUUCUAGUUUCCUUUGCAGCGCUUUCAAAUAGUUAUUGAUCAAUCACUUAUCAGCAGGCUUUGGUGUAGAGAGAAACAGCAAUAGUGCAAUCUGCUGUGAUGGCAUACCUGCUUCAUUUUGCAGUAAUUUAACAUCUAUUUAUCUGUCUUUUUAAACACAUAUCUGUGCACAGGUGCAAACCAUUUCAACCUCAAAAUGCUAUUAAUUUUGGAAGACCUGUCAUUGGCAAAAUUAAGACUCAGUUAUGACAAGUCAAUUUUGAGAAAAUUGGAAUACGCCAUUGAUAUGAACCAGAAAAGCCUCUGUGUAACAUCCUCCUUGCAGUAAAGCAGAGAAACUCCCGAGGUACUCCAAUGAACCAAGAAACAACAGCAAUUAUUUAGCAGAUGGAUCCUGAGGGGGGAAUUUCACCACAUUUCACCUUGUUCUGGAAACACAACUGUCUCUAACACAACUGUUGCUAUCUUACUCACUGCUGUGUAAGAACGAUACUUAUCAUUGUUGCAUUUUAACUCAUGCAUUGUAGAUCAUUAUCAUUGCAGCUUUGUGAUACAGUCAUAUCACAGCUUCAUAUGGAACAGUUAUUGUUUCACACAUGAGGUCAUUAUAUCACUGUUAUUUCAAAUGGCUUGCAUUUAUACCACAUUUAAUUUAAUUUGACCUUCUAAGGAGCUGGUUCAUGCUUUGAUGUCUGACUAUUCAGGCCCAAGCUCUUAAACUCCCUGCCAUUCCUGCAAAGAUCUCUUUCAAACAGCCCUUUUUUAGCUUCUCCUACAAAUAUCACAUUUCAUGGUUGGCUACUAUUUUCAGCAAUUUCUCUGAGUUUGUUGUGUUUCAUUUACCACUCCUCCAGCAUCAAACUUGUUCCUUAGAUUCAACAUCUCACUCCCACAAUAUUGAACGGGGUUAAGCCUGACACUGAAUGCCUCUCUUUUCACGUUCAAUUAGUCCUUAUUUUGCUGCCACCUGCUGGUUACAAUGUGUCCUGAGUGGUAUCUUCUUCAUAUGUUUGGAAGAGCAAAUGUAGAUGUGUAACUUCAGAGCAGGGUCAAGGGGAACCUUAGGGCCCCCUUGACAGACACAUUUAUGACUUGAUAACUAAAAUAUAGUUAAAAAGGUAUCAAACGGCCUUGGGUCAUCAGGAGACAUGUUUGUCAUCUGCAUAGUUAUGAAAUUUGAUGUCAUGCCUCCUGAUGAUGUUUCAGUUUAAAGGUUAAAGGACCCAAAACUGAACCCUGAGGAACACCGCAGUUUACAUUGUACCAUUCUGAUGAGUAUUUCAUGAGACUUAAACACAUUUUCUAUCAUAAAGAGAAGAUUUCAAACAGUUAAAAACCAUUAAAAACAAGGAUGCUAAAAACCUUUGUUGAUGGUUGUCAUCAUGUUUCUUUUAUUGACUUUAUCAUUCCAUUAGAGCCAGUGUAGGAUUUACCAUAGAGCAGUCCUGUAACACUAAGGAACAAAUACACUUUUCUGUAACAUAAUUUAUCCCCCAAACUCCAUUCAACCAGGCAGGACCCAUCCAGACCUAUCAAAGUGACUUGGGGGGCCUUGGUAUUGAAUGAAGACAGAUUCUUCAGGCUUCAGUGGCCUCUGCCAGCAGGCAGGGUGGCACAGCCCUGAAAACUGCACACUCAGCAACAACCUUCACUCCACACACAAGACACACACACACCAGUGUGAAGGCAGAUGAAGACAUCUAUUUGUGUGUGUGUGUGUGUUUGAUGGAGUGUGUUUAUGCAUGGUGCGGUGAAGGAGUUUGACAAAUGAACAUUAGGGGGGAAAAGUGCUGCAUGGGGAGUAAUUUCAUGUCCCUGUCUUUGUUUUUAGAUGUUUCUUUCAAAAGGUUGCCAUCUCCAGCCUCUGUCCUCCUGACUGCAUCAUAAUCACCACUUAGAAACCAAGACUUAGACAAAACAAGUCCAGGAGAUUGUAGAGUGUGGCUCAGUUAUAAUGACUAACAACCCCUCUGUAUAUGAAGUGAAUUCUAUCUUCCUGCACAUCUCUCUCUGGGACUCUCUGAUAAGCUGUAAUUGCCUCUAUGCUUAUCUAUGGCCUAAGAUGACAGGACAGGACGGUUCUAGGCCCCCCUUCUCCAAACCACUACUAAAACCAUUUAACUUUGCAGCAGGGACAAAUGAGAUGGCAUGAACAGAUAGACAAAGGCUUAAGUUUUGCACAUUGGUCUUUUCCAAUUGUAAACAUAUUUGGGAUAACGUCAAAGGCCCAUCAUCAGCUACCUUUCAUAGAGUCUUCCAUCAAGGUUUUGUCUGCUGUCAUCUUCCUAACAGCAUAUUUAUGCAACUAUUGGUAUGGAUGUAAUGUUUGCAAAUAGUGGAGAAAAAGUUGGGCACAAUCACAUAAAAUGCAUUAUCAGUCACCCAGCUGAAUUUGAUUGGUUCAAUAAUAUAAAAUAAGGUUUAAAAUGAUGUAAAAUGAGGAUACUUGGGAUAAGUUGGCCAAGUAUGUUUAAGCUACGCCCACCAGCUGCUUUUUAAUUGUCAGUCACCUAUAUGGUUUGGCCUGAAAGACAGACAGUCCAGUUGGGUUUGUUAUUUUUGAUAUGGAGUAUCUUUCAUUGUUUUACUGUCUACACUCUUGUACAAUCAUAUACGGUCAGAUACACUUAAGUACAUCACAGAAAAAACAAACUGACCUUUUUUACAGUUGUUAAAAUGAAAUCUUGUCCCUGCUGUGGUAGCACUCUUUGCAUGUUGCUGAGCGAUGUAGCACAGAGAAUUGGGGUUUGAGUAGUAAAUAGCCGUCAAUGGUUUUGUUACCCAGCAACACUUUUAAAGCUCAAACAUGGCUAAAGCAUUAGUAGGAAAAAUGUCAAUUAUUCCCUACAGGAGUGGAACGUUAAUGAGAAAUUUCAGAAUAAAUUUAAGAAAGGUAUUUGUGAAUGUGGUUUUUUGACUUUACCCAUAUUGCAAUAUGCUGUUCAAGCAGAAGAGCUGACCACCACUGACCCUGCAACCACACGGUGUCAGAAUGAGAUCCAUCUUCACUCAUCAUCACUCAAUUAUCAUAUCCUGAGAGGUGUUGUUGGUCAGCACAUUGGGGGAUAUGAAAAGCAAAGAAGUACUAAAAGCCACCUGCAAAUAGGCUUUGCUAGACUGCAUUGGUAUGCAGCGAUUGGUGGCGACCCAAAUUAAAAAGGAAUGUAUUACACUGGAUUUUACACUUGACUGAACAAGGCCGAGGAAAACUCAUCAACGCACAGAGUGAGAGAUAAAACUCCAAAGGGAGGGCGGAGGGGGAGAGGGCUUCUUCUAUUUGUUUUCUGACCUUGUGAAAAACAUGCAAACAGAUCCAACAAUGCACAGACAUUUCCUUUCAUUUUUGCAUCCUUUUAAUCUUAUUUUUUAAUAUUUUUUUUCAGUUGUUGCAAACUCCUUGUCUUACAUUCAAAUAUCAGUACUGUAGACUUUAUAUGUUAAGUGUUUAGGUUGCGCAAUGACUCAAUCAUGUAUUUGUCAGUACUGCUCUUAAGCCAGUAUAUACUGCAUAAAUUGAGGCCAAUUCUGACAAGAUUUUUAAAUCACAUCACUGUUUUCAAAGUCAGGCCAGAUUUUGAUUGCAAUGUUGCAGAUGGAAGACCGAAUGCACCAUGAUAACAUGAAACAACCAAGUAAUGAACCAACUGUCUAACCAAUGAACCAACUAACCAACAACAGAACAAUGAAACCAACCAGCAUAGCAAUAAACCAACCAACCUAUCAAAGAACCAAUUAACCAACACAUGAAACAACAAACCCACCAAUCAACCAGCUAAUCGACUCCUUAAGGCCCCAGGCACCAAGCGC